rnacentral:rRNA from 1 species
GGAAUAUUGCACAAUGGGCGAGAGCCUGAUGCAGCGACGCCGCGUGAGGGAUGACGGCCUUCGGGUUGUAAACCUCUUUCAGCAGGGACGAAGCGCAAGUGACGGUACCUGCAGAAGAAGCACCGGCUAACUACGUGCCAGCAGCCGCGGUAAUACGUAGGGUGCAAGCGUUGUCCGGAAUUACUGGGCGUAAAGAGUUCGUAGGCGGUUUGUCGCGUCGUUUGUGAAAACCAGCAGCUCAACUGCUGGCUUGCAGGCGAUACGGGCAGACUUGAGUACUGCAGGGGAGACUGGAAUUCCUGGUGUAGCGGUGAAAUGCGCAGAUACCAGGAGGAACACCGGUGGCGAAGGCGGGUCUCUGGGCAGUAACUGACGCUGAGGAACGAAAGCGUGGGUAGCGAACAGGAUUAGAUACCCCGG